GACGAACGCUGGCGGCGCGCCUAACACAUGCAAGUCGAACGAGCGAGAGAGAGCUUGCUUUCUCGAGCGAGUGGCGAACGGGUGAGUAACGCGUGAGGAACCUGCAUCAAAGAGGGGGACAACAGUUGGAAACGACUGCUAAUACCGCAUAAGCCCACAGCUCGGCAUCGAGCAGAGGGAAAAGGAGCAAUCCGCUUUGAGAUGGCCUCGCGUCCGAUUAGCUAGUUGGUGAGGUAAUGGCCCACCAAGGCGACGAUCGGUAGCCGGACUGAGAGGUUGAACGGCCACAUUGGGACUGAGACACGGCCCAGGCUCCUACGGGAGGCAGCAGUGGGGAAUAUUGCACAAUGGGGGAAACCCUGAUGCAGCGACGCCGCGUGGAGGAAGAAGGUCUUCGGAUUGUAAACUCCUGUUGUUGAGGAAGAUAAUGACGGUACUCAACAAGGAAGUGACGGCUAACUACGUGCCAGCAGCCGCGGUAAAACGUAGGUCACAAGCGUUGUCCGGAAUUACUGGGUGUAAAGGGAGCGCAGGCGGGAAGGCAAGUUGGAAGUGAAAUCCAUGGGCUCAACCCAUGAACUGCUUUCAAAACUGUUUUUCUUGAGUAGUGCAGAGGUAGGCGGAAUUCCCGGUGUAGCGGUGGAAUGCGUAGAUAUCGGGAGGAACACCAGUGGCGAAGGCGGCCUACUGGGCACCAACUGACGCUGAGGCUCGAAAGUGUGGGUAGCAAACAGGAUUAGAUACCCUGGUAGUCCACACUGUAAACGAUGAUUACUAGGUGUUGGAGGAUUGACCCCUUCAGUGCCGCAGUUAACACAAUAAGUAAUCCACCUGGGGAGUACGACCGCAAGGUUGAAACUCAAAGGAAUUGACGGGGGCCCGCACAAGCAGUGGAGUAUGUGGUUUAAUUCGACGCAACGCGAAGAACCUUACCAAGUCUUGACAUCCUGCGACGGUGCUGGAAACAGUACUUUCCUUCGGGACGCAGAGACAGGUGGUGCAUGGUUGUCGUCAGCUCGUGUCGUGAGAUGUUGGGUUAAGUCCCGCAACGAGCGCAACCCUUAUGGUCAGUUACUACGCAAGAGGACUUUGGCCAGACUGCCGUUGACAAAACGGAGGAAGGUGGGGAUGACGUCAAAUCAUCAUGCCCUUUAUGACUUGGGCUACACACGUACUACAAUGGCGUUAAACAAAGAGAAGCAAGACCGCGAGGUGGAGCAAAACUCAGAAACAACGUCCCAGUUCGGACUGCAGGCUGCAACUCGCCUGCACGAAGUUCGGAAUUGCUAGUAAUCGCAGAUCAGCAUGCUGCGGUGAAUACGUUCCCGGGCCU
rnacentral:rRNA from 1 species